rnacentral:lncRNA from 1 species
GUUUAUGUCUUCAUUCAUUCUUAUAUCUGUCAUGUUUUCUUAGAGGUGGUUCAGAUCCUUGUUUAGGUUCUUGUUUAGCAGUACCAGUCUGCCAGUCUUGUUCCGGAUAUUUAGUCUGUAGCAGUACCAGUCUGCCAGUCUUGUUUAGGUUAUUUAGUCUGUAGCAGUACUAGUCUGCCAGUCUUGUUCCGGAUAUUUAGUCUGUAGCAAUACCAGUCUGCCAGUCUUUGCCAGAUGAGCUGGACUGUGGCCUGGAAUGUUGAUUUGGGGGGUGGAAUUUGUGAAAUUGGUGUUGGAUGGGAACCUGCCUGCAUCGUGUGUUGGAUGGGAACCUGCCUGCAUCGUGUGUUGUGCAUCUAAAUCAGAUUAUAUUUCCUCUUCCCUUUUCUCUUUUCUCCUCUCCUUCCCAUCCUCUUUCCUCUCCUCCCUCUUUCUCUCCUUUUUCUUCUAUUUUCUUCUCCUCUUCUGUCCUCUGCCCUUCCUCUCAUCUUGUCUUUCUUCCCCUGUUCUCUCUCCUCUCCUCUCUCUUCAUCUCUCCUAUUUUCUCCUUUCCUCUCUCUCCUGUCCUCUCCUCUCCUUUCUCUCCUAAUCUCCUUUCUCCUCUCUGUCUCCUUUCUCUCCUCUCCUCCCUGUCAAAGGAGCAACACUAUGGCAACAGUGAGUCAUCCUCUAUAACACAGCCAACCAAUUAAACGCAGAGUUAGUCUUAUAAAAAAAAUAUUAAAAAAAUACUAUUUUGCCAGGCAACAACCAGUGGUGUUCCAGAACUUAAUUUACUUCAGGAAUUACCUGCCGCCCCACGCAAGGCAGCCACACGGUAAUGCCAUGGCACACUGAAAGAGGGCAUGUAAGAUUAUGUGAAUAUGUGUCAUUGCCAUGACUGCACUUAAAUGCACUCCACAGACGUUUUAACUGGUCUAGACUCUAGACCAUUCAUUCCAACUGGCAUAAUCAUGUGAAUGCAUGAUUCUUUUAGUUUUAUUCACCAGAGCAGGAAGCGACG